AGUUGCCAUGCAGCGUAAUUGGCUUCUUUUCUGAUUUAUUCUUGAAGCUAUAUAUACUAGACGAGCGCAUGCGUAUUGUAAAUUCACAAUUAUGUUUUAUUCAAAUUUUAAAUAAAUUUUUUUUUUCGUUUCUAUUGAUUUUGUGUUUUUGAUUGUCUGUUUUUCUUUUUAAAUACAAAAACCAAAGUUAUUAAUAUAAAAUAAAGAUACAGAUUACUUAAAUUAGUUACAGAUGAGAAAAACUCAAAUUUAGAAUAUAAUAUUAUUGUUAUUAUUUUGAAAAAUGUAAUACGUAUUACCUUGGAGAAGUCGUUGCAUGAGUAGGUAUAAUAUGGAAGAAGAGCUGAUAUUCUAAGUGGGAGUCGAGUCAUUUUUUUUUUCUUUUCGAUUUGAAAUUAAAGAUGUGUGAUUAAUUGUUAACUACAGUAUUACUAAAAAGAAAUAGAGAAUAAAAAACCAUUGAUUAAACAUUUAUAAAUCGUUAUAUUUUGUGAUAUAAUUAAUUGGAGAAAAAAUUUAGCUUUUAAAUGAUUUUAUUGUUUUUCAUAUUGCGUAAUUAAUGAAUACAAAAAAAUUAAGGAAGCGGGAAGUUGAUAGAAUCUAGAGGUAAUAUAACUAGCAGAAAAAAAAAAAAUUUAUACUUAUCAGCUAUCGAACACCUACACAGGGUCUUACAUAUUCCAUAUUACAGUUGAAUAGUUCAAUUAAAAACAUGUUUUUUUCAAAAAAUUAAUUAUUCAAGAACUUUUUUCAGUGGAGAAGUGAAGCAUCAAUUGUGUGGCAGUACUCUAUCACUCUCCCCCUCUACCAAAACUUAGAAAUUGAACGUCUUGUCAACGGGUCGACGGAAAUCAAAAAUUUCAACGAUAAAAUAUACAUAUCUAUAUAAAUAUAGAAUUUUCGACAAAGAAUGAGAUUUGAAAAUCAAAAGUUGAUAGUUUCACCAUCGCAAAAUAAGGACAAAGAAAAAAGAGGACGAUUUAACUGUUUUAGAAUAUGCGAUUUCAAAAAGUUUUCACGUAAGAAAAAUAAGUGUUCGACUAAAUAUGCAAUAUUCGGAAGAGCUCGUGUAAAAUAUUACACCCAGUUAAUUUUUUAUCCUUUAAAAUAAAUAUAUCAUAAAACCGAUUAAAGCGCGUUCAAUGUUGUAAACAAUCAAAAAUGAUAAGUUUAUCAUAUUGUUAUUAUUUUAUAUACGCCGGUGAUUGUUAUGGUAUUUUACACGGUAUUUAUUGCUGUAUUAUGUUUUAUUAAAACAAAAAAAAAUAAUAAUAAAAAACCGAAUUCUUCUAGCCAUAAUAUUGUUUUUGUUCACGCGUUUAAACAUGUGCAAUUUGUCUAAGUGCACUUUGGAUUUUACGUAACACGAAUAUGUAUAUAUUAUACAGGGUGUCCACGUUUACAGGUAACCCUAAAUAUUUUGGCCGGAUAACCUUGGAUUCGAAUUCCAUUUGCGGGAGGUGAUGAGGGGUACUGAAAUGAAGGAUACAUUUCAAAUUUUCAACCAUUUCGGAGCGUGCAUAUAUGCAGUACAAAUGACGUUUUUCAAAUGGCAAUUGAUCCGAAUAGUGCCGUAUUCACUUGAAACAUUUUUUCAAGUGACUAUGAUCAAUAAUAUUUUUUAUUAUUUUAAAAAUUACCCGAGUUACAAUUAUUUAAAGUGGAUUAAGUCGAAAAAUAUUAUUUUUAUACCGAUAUUUGAAAAAAUUUAAAACUAUUAGGUAUUAUUAAGUACCUAUGUUGUUUAAUGAUUAUCUUAACAAAUUGUUUUUUUCCCUACCCGAACAUUUGUCAAAUUUCUUUGUUUUAAAUUGUUUGAAAUAUUGAAAAAAAAAAAAAUCAUAUUUUUUAAUCAAUUUUAGAUAGCUGCGUAUCGUGUCGUUUUCGAGGUAAAAAAAUAAAUAGUAUCAAUUUAAAAGUUACGAACGUUAAAAAUGUAUCCGAUAGACGUGCGCCAUUUCAGUAACCCCGACACCUACCGAAAAUGGAAUUCAAAUUAUAAUACAUAACGCUGCUAGUAUUAUCUGCAGUGUUGAAUCCAGAUAUAUGACGGGAGGGUGAUAUUCCUCUCCCUCCAUGUAAAAUGUGAGUAAAAUAAUCGUUAAUUAAAUAAUUAAACAAAUUUGACUGGUUUUAGCAAGAGAGUAGGUAAGCAAAAAAAUAAAAACAAAAGUCAUUACUAUAAUUUUAUUAGUGCUCUUCCUAGAAAAAAUGUCCGGGUCUAAACAUUGGUUACCCAGAAACACGGACACACUGUAUACGGAUGUGUAUAGAAACAAUGAAAUGUUCUGACGAUAAUUAGGCUAUACAAUGUGCAGCGCGUAUGACAUUUAAAGUUUCCGUCGUUGAGUUUUUCAAUACGAACGAGUGUACACGGUUUAAAACGCAGGCAUUUGAAAAAUAUUUCCAUAUUCAUAUCGUAAAACGUGAGACGCUCAGCGCGGCGGUGUUUUGUAACUGGAUUGUAAAUAGACCGGUGUAUUAAAAAAUUUUUGUUUAUUAUUUAAUUUUUUUUUUAUUCACCAUGAAGUGGGCUUACAGCUGACCUAUUCGGCCGAUGUCCAGCAGGAAUGGAAGUGAUUAUUUGUGCGGAAUUUUAACAUUCGAUUUUUAUGGUUUUAAAUUCGUAAAUGUUUCAAUCGUAUUCUAAAUACAACAAUGCAGCCGAUAUAUUUUAUUAUGCACUUACUGCGCCACGGAGAUUGAUCUAUGCGAAAUUUUUAACAAAAAACCCUCUUUCGCUUUAUAUGUUAUUCCGUAUCAACCCUAUCUAAAAUGAAGUAUUUGUUUUUGUUUUUUUUGUUUGUUUCCGAUUUCUUAAAAUAAAUUUUAAUUUUCAUACCCGUCAUAUUUUUUACUGCCGUCUCUCUCUCUUUGGCCGAAAGUAUUUCGUGGUUACGUUCAAACUCCGAUAGUGUCUUAUUGGUUCGAGAUCAGCAGCUAUAGUUUCAAAACAAUUGAAAAAAAAUUCAAAGUUUCGCGUUAUAACGUGAAGUCGUUGAUUUACAUAUCGCAUCACUUAGUUUGAUAAACAUAAACUCGAAAUAAUUACGAGCGGUCUAGAUUGAGAGGAUCUUGGUUCUGGGAUCGCCUGUGCGUCCACGUAAAACAUAUAUCGAUGGGAGGGGGGUUUCGGGUGGGGGGGAAGAACAGUAAGUAACACAACAUUUGAACGUUUUUAACUGAAUCGUAUAUAGAGUGUGGUGCGUUUUUUAAACGUCGAGAUUGGCGGCAUAGGGGUUGAACACCUAAACCCCUUCCACCUGAUUCGGUAAUGUGUUUCCGUACGGAAAACUACGGGUACAACGCAACACGAAUAACGUACACAGGGCGGUUAGGAAUAAACGGAUUGCCCGGUGGUGCAUGCAGAGGGGGGGUUAAGAGGUCAUAACCCCUCCCGAAAUUUUUCUCUUCAAUGCAAUUUUUUUAAAUCGAGUUUUACGCAUUCAAAAACAUAUGUUAUCUUAUACCACGGAAUAAAAUAAAAUUGAAUUCGAUCAAAACAAUCAUUCAUUCAGUAUUGUAUCAUAUUAAUACAUGCGCUGUUUCCCUCUACAGAGUUCUUAAAAACUAAAAACCCCUCCCGGA
rnacentral:lncRNA from 1 species